rnacentral:rRNA from 1 species
ACGGAGGGGACUAGCGUUGUUCGGAUUUACUGGGCGUAAAGGGUGCGUAGGCGGCCUGAUAAGUUAGAAGUGAAAGCCUGGGGCUUAACCCCAGAACUGCUUCUAAAACUAUCAGGCUAGAGUAUGGGAGAGGAUAGUGGAAUUCCUAGUGUAGAGGUGAAAUUCUUAGAUAUUAGGAGGAACACCGGUGGCGAAAGCGACUAUCUGGAACAUAACUGACGCUGAGGCACGAAAGCGUGGGGAGCAAACAGG